rnacentral:lncRNA from 1 species
AGUUUGCAUUGUCUGAGAUUAUGAACAAACCAGAGGUGAUGAAGAAAGCCCAGCAAGAACUAGAAGCUGUAGUUGGCAAGCACAACAUUGUAGAAGAGUCUCACAUUCACAAAUUACCCUACUUACAAGCUGUGAUGAAAGAAACUCUGCGCUUGCACCCAGCCCUGCCACUACUAGUCCCUCAUUGCCCAAGUGAAACCUGCACUGUGGGAGGCUACACCAUCCCGAAAGGAUCCCGGAUUUUCUUCAACGUGUGGGCAAUACACAGGGACCCUUCCAUUUGGGAAAAUCCAUUGGAGUUUGAUCCAGAAAGGUUCUUGAACAGCAAAUGGGACUAUAGUGGAAAUGACUUCAACUAUUUCCCAUUUGGAUCUGGCAGAAGAAUAUGUGCAGGGAUUGCAAUGGCUGAGAGGAUGGUGAUGCAUUCACUUUCUACACUUGUGCACUCUUUUGACUGGAAAGUGCCACAAGGACAGAAGCUGGAUCUUUCAGAGAAGUUUGGAAUUGUGCUGAAAAAGAAGAUGCCUUUGGUCGCUAUCCCAACUCCUAGGUUAUCUGAUCCAGCACUCUAUCAGUAGCCAACUUCUUUUUCCCCACAAAGAUUUCUUGGGAUAAUUGUUGUUUGUAUGUGUCUUUCAGAACCUGGUAAAAUCAGGAUGAAUUUAUGUUGCAUUACUUGGGAGUUGAGGCCCCAUUACAAAGAUUGUGAAAAAUAAUGCCAAUAAACAAAUAAUUAUAUAUAUGGAGCAAUGGUCCAAGUGCAGUUGUGCCAAAAUUGACACAAUUAGAAUGAUUAUAGACCUCUUUUAUUUGAUCUCUUUAUCUAUUUUGGUCAGAAAAUUUAUUGGUCUCUCGUCGUCACUACCUACCUACCUGUCCACUUUCCACUCAAACCCGAUCAAACUUCUUCCCUUCCCUCAACUCAAAUCCCAUUGCUGAUCACAAAACACACACCAUGGCAUCCUAUUCUUAUUACAACACCUUCUUCUCAUGGCAGUUUCAAGCCCAUUACACAAAUAUUGACCAAACAUGGCUGGCCUUUGCCAUCUCCGUCGUCACCUUUGUCCGUUUACUUUUAUUUAUUUUUAUAUUACUCCAUUUACUUAAGUUUACAAUAUAAAUAAAGAAGUACCUGUUGUGAAAAUUAUUGCAAGCGCACAAUCCGUAUAAGUAAUAUAGAAAUAAGUAGAGUGUCGUUCCCACGAAGACUGUAAUUUCCUAUUAACUACCAAUUAUGAUUAAUGCAUAAGUCUAUUUGAACAGUUGAUUAAGAAAAUUGAUUAAUUUUAAGAAAACUAAAACAAUUAUGAAAAAUAACAAUUUAAUUAACGAUAGAAAAUUAAGAUGAUGAGACACUAGAGCAUCCGACUUCACCAUAACCAAUUCUACUUAAUUCUUAUAGCCAAUUAACCCUAAUUACUAUCCAUGUUGACAGUUGGUUUCUCCUAAUUCAUUCGAUAUCCCCUCUCGGGCUCAACCAAAAGUAUUCUCAAUUAACAACCCAUUCUCUCUCGAGCAACGGAUUUAGAAAACCAAGAACCCAUUAAGUUCUAUGAGAACCUACAAGAAAACUGCAUGAGUCAUGUUAGUCCCUCUCGGGCACUCAUUCAAGUCAUGAUAUUUGUUACAAGAAGCAAACACCAAACAUCUCCUCUCGGUCUCUGCUUGGAUCAUCAAUUAAAUAUUAGCUAGAUAUUUAAAUCAUUAAGAAUAGUAACAAAUACUCAACAUGAGAUAAUAAGCAGAAAUUAAUAUAACGAUAGAAAUUAAGUAUUCAAGGUUAGGCUACAUCGUAGCCCUAGCGAGGGAAAUUAGUUCAUGACAGAAGAAAAUAUAAACAAGAGAAUUAUUGUCAUAAAACCAAUUUGGCCGAUGGACUUGAUCUUCAAAAUCUUCACAGGAACACCUUCAAAAGCUCCUCAAAUAAAGCAGCAGCAAAUUCUUGGCUCUCUCUGAUAUUUCUCUGGUGGACUGAAAGUUGGUGGAAAAAUAUGGUAGAGAAGACGAUGGUGGGAAAAAGAUGAUCUGGCUAUUAGGUUAAAGCUUUGUAUUUAUAGGCCAAGGGACUCCUCCAAAAAUAAGGAAGAUAAUAUUUAUUUAGGAAGGAAAGGAAAAAUAGGAAUGUAUUAAAAAAACAAUACCUAUUCUCAAAAGGAAGAGUAACAUGCGGCUUCAAAAGAUAGAGGGAAUUGACUUUGGGGUUUUAAGGGAAAAAUAGGAAAGUAUAUCAAGUGUCCAGCCAAUACCCAUGCUUUGCUCCAAAAGUAGCUGACGGUGGUGGCUCAACAAAAAAAAGGUAACCAACAAUUGUUUCACAAUUGUUAAGCCAGCCUUUUACGUUGGCAAUAGUGCAAUUCAUUCAUGUUGCUUUCUUUCCUUUCAGACCAUUUCAUUAUUUUGUCAUCUAGCAUCUCUUGCAAUUGCUCAAAUGAUGCAACCACCAUUUCAGCAAUUCACGAUGGGUUCUUCUUCAUGAGAAAGGCAGUGAUGUGAUGGUAAGCUUCUCUAACUCAAUCUUUCUGGCGCUGGUCACUGAGACCAGUUGUGGAUAUAAAUUGACACUUGCACAGAUGCACUCCAGGUGUUUGAUGAAAUGACAGAGUGACUUCUUGAGAUUUUGUUGAGAUGAUAAUUCCACCCAUUUUGAUCCUUUAAGCUUCCAAAAUUAUAGUUUUUGCUCCAAAGCCUUGCUAAGUAUGAUUUCCUACAAAAUCUCCACCAAGCACAUUAAACUAACCAAUUUCACAUGAAAACAAUGCAAAUAAAGGUAGAUUAUAUAUGCAAAAUAUGAAUCUAUCAGUACCUCCCAUUUGGAUUCAAAUAAAAAUACUAGAAAAUUAAAUUCUCGCCAAAUCAAAAUAUGAAAAUUCGGUUUUAGUGCAAAAUACGAUUUAGGCUAAAAAUGAUGGCUCAUUAAGUCAAUAUAUACUUCAUACUAAAAUCCCAUAAAAUCAAGUUUUCUUAUUUGAUGUAUAAGGUAUAAAAGCCGUCAAAAAUUAUCCUGAGAAAAUGAUUAUUCCGAAAAAUCAUUUUUCGUACUUAGUCCAAAUUGCACCUUUGCUAAAAAAUUUAUGGGUCCACUAGUGCUUAGAGGGCCUGGCCUAAUCCCACGGCCCAAUCUUCAAGCUCCGCCUCGGCAACACCCUCGUCGUCGUCGUCACCUCCCCUUCCUUAGCCCGCGAGUUCCUCAAAGACCAUGACGUCACCUUCGCCAACGGCGACAUCCCCACCGCCGCUAGGGCCUCCACCUAGGGAGGAAAUGAUAUCGCGUGGUCCCCGUAUGGACCCCAGUGGCGGAUGCUGAGAAAAGUCUGCGUGCUCAAGAUGCUCAGCAACACCACUGUGGACUCGGUGUACGAACUCCGGCGAAAGCAGCUCCGGGAAACUGUCGGGUACUUCUACAGUCGGGUCGGGUUGGCGGUAAACGUCGGCGAGUAGAUGUUCUUGAACGUGCUCAAUGUUAUCUCCAACACGUUGUGGGAUGGGACGGUGGAAGGGGACGAGAGGGCUGGACUUGGAGCUGAGUUUCGGGAAGUUGUAUCGGAGAUGACGGAGUUUUGGGGAAGCAGAAUGUGUUGGACUUUUACCCGGGUUUGGCCCGGUUCGAUUUGCAAGGCGUGGAGAAGCACAUGGCGAGGUUGGCUCGGAGGUUUGAUGGGAUAUUUGAGAAGGUAAUUGAUCAACGGCUGCGGAUGGAGAAAGAAGGCGCGAAAAAGAGUAUUGAUGUCUUGACUUUUUUGUUGAAGAUGAAAGACGAGGGAGGAGAUUCGAAGACGCCUUUCACUAUGACCCAUGUCAAAGCUUUGCUUAUGGUAAGUAUAUAUGUAUUACUUGUUUUAACUUCACUUGAACACUAUAGUUUUUUUCUUUCUUUGUUUGUAUAUUAUUCAUGAAAACAUGACGUUUUAAAAAAACACUAAAAUGGCUAUCAUUUUAUCAAAUGGUUAAUUGUUUUCUGACAGGUUAUUUUUUGUAGACAUUAUCUAUGAAUAAAGACUUAGAAAAUAUAUCGUCGGAUUAUUUAAAUACAAUGUGUAUAGAUAUUUCACAAAUAAUUUUAUUUGAGAGAUCCUUAAUUGAAGCUCCCUCCAAAUAAGUGGAGAGCUUCUUUUCCUGGCCGUCUUAAAUUAAAACCUUAAAAGUUGUUGUAAACAAAUGUGAAUGCUUAAGCUUGCAACUGGUAAACUAACAGCUGAACAGUUCAAAACCACGCAGUUGUCAAAUGGGAAUGUCAAAAACACGCAGUUGUCAAUGUGUGACAUGAAAGCUCAAGCAAAUUUUUUUUUUUUUCUUGUUUCAAGUUAAACAACUAAGUCCAUUAACAUGAUGCUUUGUAAUCUACUGUGGGCAGGAUAUGGUGGUGGGUGGCAGUGACACUUCCUCCAACACAGUUGAGUUUGCAUUGGCUGAAAUUAUGCACAAACCAGAGGUGAUGAAAAAAGCCCAGCAAGAACUAGAAGCUGUAGUUGGCAAACAAAACAUUGUAGAAGAGUCUCAUAUUCAUAAACUACCCUACUUACAAGCUGUGAUGAAAGAAACUCUGCGCUUGCACCCAGCCCUGCCACUACUAGUUCCUCACUGCCCAAGUGAAACCUGCACUGUGGGAGGCUACACCAUCCCGAAAGGGUCUCGGAUUUUCGUGAACGUGUGGGCAAUACACAGGGACCCUUCCAUUUGGGAAAACCCAUUGGAGUUUGAUCCA